rnacentral:lncRNA from 1 species
CAUUUAAUAGCAUAAUUCGUAUAUGAAUAUACAAUAUACUCUUAGCAUUUCAAAUAAUUGAGAUAUUUGAUUAUGUUACGUUAGUGUACGUAUAGGUGUUUAGUGAUAACAAUUUGUUAUAAUUUUCAAACAACCACCCGGCACUUCAAACAAUUGAGUACUGACAUUAAAGCAUUUAAUUAAUGAUUGAUAAUGGUAUUGAUAACUGAUUGAUGGUAACUGUGUUCCAAAUUGUAAUUUUGAACUUAAUACAUUUUCUAACAUGUAUAAUGAUAAUAAAAUCAAUUUUUAUCAUGCAAAAACUCAAUUUUCAGUCGAAUUAUUUGAUAUAUUCAAAUUUCAGAAAUUACAGUAAAAAUCACCAUUAUAGGUAAGUACCAUCGAUUUACAAAAUAAUUUAAGUAGAGAUAUGUGUUAUUGUAAUUUAUAUUAACAAUCCUGUUUCACACAUUGAGUAUGUAACAAAAUUUACUUAUUCAUAUUUUGUGUAAUAUGAAUAAUUAAAAUAUUAUUAUAAUAUUAUAUAAUUGCAAACUUCCAUUAAUAACUACAACAUAUAUUGAAUUACAAAUGUAUAUUUCAUGCAUUUAAUCAUUUUUAUUUUUGAGGAUUACCUACCUACCUACCUAUAAUCUGACAGUAAUGAAAAUGUUUCAGAUUAUUCAAGUAGCUUAUUUUUUAACAUGCCUUGCUGCAGUAAUAGGUCAGAAAAAGACUGGAAAUUAUUUAGACAAAUACAAAAUAUGCGACGUGGAGAUAAAUGGGCAUCAAUAGAAUCAACACGCUUGUGUGAGGUAAAUUUCACCUUUGUUAAAUUUAGGUAAAUGAAUAAUGUACUUCCUGUGCUUAUAUUUCUAUAGAAAUAGCUCUCAGUUUGAAAGCCACCGAAAAGACUUGGAAAAAAUGAAUGUCAAAUAAUUUACCUACCUAAAUUAUUUUAUGUACCAAAUCCACCACUCAUGAUUGAUCUUCUGUCACGAAAAUCAGUGAAUAAGGUAAGAUUAUUCCAUAAAGAGUAAAUCACCAUUACUAAAGCUCUUAACAAAUGCAAUAACUGAAGUUUAACAAUUUAGUAUUUUUGUAAAACAUUUUACCUGUUUGAAAAAAAAUUACUAAUUGUGUAGGUGUAUAAGAAAUUUAUAAUAAAUGAUAUUAUGAAAUAAUAAAAUAUCAGGAAUUAUUGCUAUAUUGCAUUAAUUAUUUGAAAAAAACCUGUGCCUUGUUUAAACAAUUUCAAAUAAAAUUACAUACCUCAGACUUGAUAGUUGUAUUCUAAUUAUACAAUAAGUUUUGUUUCAUACCUACUGUUCAAUUCAAUAUAAAUUAUAGGAAUUCUUAUUUGACUACUUUAAAGCUCAAAUAUUAAAUUUCUUUUUUCAGAAUUCUAACAUAGCUCUACAAAACUUUGACAAUUUAAAAACCAUUCAUGAGUCUACAAUUUGUUCAAGAUGAUGUUUUGAAUGUACUUCAAAUCCCAGAAAAUGAAGUAAUCUUUAAAUUUAAUAAUUUACCUUAUAAAUUAGAUUGUGUAAAUAAUAAUUUUAUUAAAUUAACAUUUAAUGCAAUUGUUUUAUUUACUGAAAAUUAAUUAACUAAAAAGUUCUGAAUAAAGUAAAUAGCAACUAUAAUCACUGUGUAAUAAACUCAGUGUGUUAUAGUUCAGUUUUUGUGUGUUAUACAUGAACUAGAUCUCGCAAAAACUUUUGAAUAAUUAUUAAACACUUGAUAUAAUAAUUUAUUGUUGGUAUUUCAGUAAUAAAAAAAGGUAUUAAACACAUAAAAUACAAUUUGUUAACUUAGUAAACAAAAUUAUAUCACAACUUCAAUGGUGAAUGUGUUAAGAAACAUAUGAUAUUGUAUACAAAUUAUAAUUUAUUAUUUAUAUUUGUUAAUUUGAUUUUGAUAAAACCUAUCACGUUAAAAAUAUACAAAUACAGUAAAUUUUAAAAUUACUUUUUCUUAAUACAUAUUUUAAAUUUAUAAAUAUUAUAAUUAUUAUACAUUGUACAUUACAUAAUAUAUUUUGACAUUAAUGCAAACUAUAAGAAUACAAAAUUUAAUUUAAUACAUUUUUAGUUAAGAUAAAAAUACAAAUUUUGAAUUAAAACCAAAAUGUAAUGAUUACUAUUAUAUAAUAUAUAGGGAGUCGGAUGAACAAUUAAUUAUUAUAAUGCAAAGUGAGUACAUUAUUUAUCAAUUGAUUUACAAUGGUUUCGUUUAUUAAUCGCACAGUAUAUUGAGAUGACUGUUGAUUGAAACUGUUUGAUGCCAACAUUAACUAGACUAUUUUCUCUUUAUCAACACCAUAUUGAUACCAAACUCUAAAAAUUCAAAAUACAGUUAUGUAUAAAAUAAUAUGCAAUACUUACCCACAACCCACUAGUGAUUACACCUAGCAUACAUAAUCAAAUUUUUAAAAGUGUGGUGGUUUUAAUCAAUGGUAAAUUGAAUUGUAUUUUGGAGUACAUAUUUUUUCAGCAUUCAAAAUAUGAACAAUAUUGAUCAGAAUUGCAUGAUGCCUAGAAGUAACCAUUUGAUUUCCUAAAAUAUGAAAAAAAAAUAAAUUUAUCUAUUUGGUUUAAUUGGUUUGAAUACCAAUGAAUCAUUUAGUAUCAUUUAAAAUAAAAAUGUAAAAUUAUUAAUCAAAUACAUAUUGAAAAUUGUAUGUGAGCUGUGUGUAUAAUAUAUUAGGGUAGCUGAAAAUAUUCCCGAAACCGGACGUGAAACUCUGAGUACACUCAUAUUGUAAAUCAAUGUAAUAUGUUAAAACUUGAAACAAAAAUAAUGUAAAUAGCCUUAAUGUUUAUAUUUUGGGGAAUAAUAAGAAAUAAUAUUUGUUUUUCAUAAUAAUUAUUAAUUUAAUUCACAUCAUUACAUUUGAUAUUUUAUGUUACAAAGGCUAACUUUUGUUUGUGAACUGGUAUUAAAUGUUUAAUGCAAAAUAUUGAUUUGUUAUGCUAGUAUGAUGUAUUUAUUAUCUUUUUUUUUUUUUAGGAUUUUUGCUGACAUUUAUUGAUCAAAACGCAGAUAUGUACCCAAACAAAUAAAUUACAUACAGAAAAUUUGAAAAAAAAAAAUUGAGACCCGUAUAGUGUCCAGUACUAUAAAUCUAUCUAUAGAAAUAUAUCUAUAUUAUUGUUAUUUACUCUUGACUUAUCAAAUUAAUAAAGUAAAAUAUAGUUA